AUUUUACUCCCUCCGUCCGGAAAUACUUGUCAUCAAAAUGAAUAAAAGGAGAUGUAUCUAGAUGUAUUUUAGUUUUAGAUACAUCCCUUUUUGUCCAUUUUGAUGACAAGUAUUUUCGGACGGAGGGAGUACUUG
rnacentral:pre_miRNA from 1 species